GGGGCUGUAGCUCAGCUGGGAGAGUGCAACGCUGGCAGCGUUGAGGUCAGGGGUUCAAUCCCCCUCAGCUCCACCA
rnacentral:tRNA from 1 species